rnacentral:rRNA from 1 species
AUUGAACGCUGGCGGCAGGCCUAACACAUGCAAGUCGAGCGGAUGAAGGGAGCUUGCUCCUGGAUUCAGCGGCGGACGGGUGAGUAAUGCCUAGGAAUCUGCCUGGUAGUGGGGGAUAACGUCCGGAAACGGGCGCUAAUACCGCAUACGUCCUGAGGGAGAAAGUGGGGGAUCUUCGGACCUCACGCUAUCAGAUGAGCCUAGGUCGGAUUAGCUAGUUGGUGGGGUAAAGGCCUACCAAGGCGACGAUCCGUAACUGGUCUGAGAGGAUGAUCAGUCACUCUGGAACUGAGACACGGCCCAGGCUCCGACGGGCGGCAGCAGUGGGGAAUGUUGGACGAUGGGCGAAAGCCUGAUCCAGCCAUGCCGCGUGUGUGAAGAAGGUCUUCGGAUUGUAAAGCACUUUUAGUGGGGAGGAAGGGCAGUAAGUUAAUACCUUGCUGUUUUGACGUUACCAACAGAAUAAGCACCGGCUAACUUCGUG